AUCAUUCUCUCUGCAGGACUUGCAUUCCACUGUUUUUCAUCAUCAUGUGCCUGUACGCGCUUCAGCCCAUCGUCACGGGUCCCAACACGAAGGCGUUCUUCCAAGACCUGCGCAAGGAGGUCGCCUCUCAUUGGUGGCACUUGCUUCUGCAGAUUCGAAAUUUCGAUAGAAUCAGCGAACGUGAUGUAUACCGCACGUGUGGUACCUGUCGACGGAUGUCCAGCUGUUCGUCGUCUCUCUUGUCAUACUGCUGAUGUUCAAACGUUGCAGGACACUUACAGUCGGAGCAUUUGCCCUUCUAUCUCUUCUGGGCUGCAUUGCUGGAACGUGCGUCGUUGCAGCCUUUCAGCUGCCGCCGUUUAUGAUCUUCCCAGGGUCGAGUGCGGACCUCAUGGUGCGGACUCUCGCAUCCAGCCCUACUACCACGCCGUGAGCUACUUCGGCGGCUGCAUGACGUACCUCGUCUUAGAAGACUUCAAGGAGAGGAAGAUAUCCAACGUACCGCUUAACCAACCCUGACAUGCCAAGACUCUACGCACGCUUAAAAAAGAUAUUUCUUGACAAUUUAGGCGUAAUGGGUUAGUCAUUAAAAUAUAGUAAGUGUACAUAAUGGCCAAUUACUAGUUUCAUUGCAUGAAUAGUGGGUCGAAAUUCCCAGCGCUUGUACGUCAGCGUGACGUCACGGAUAUAAACGUAUUUUUUUGUUAUCGGG